rnacentral:rRNA from 1 species
UACGUAGGGUGCGAGCGUUGUCCGGAAUUAUUGGGCGUAAAGGACGCUGCGUGAGCGGUUUGUCGCGUCGGGAGUGAAAACUCAGGGCUUAACCCUGAGCCUGCUUCCGAUACGGGCAGACUAGAGGUAUGCAGGGGAGAACGGAAUUCCUGGUGUAGCGGUGAAAUGCGCAGAUAUCAGGAGGAACACCGGUGGCGAAGGCGGUUCUCUGGGCAUUACCUGACGCUGAGGAGCGAAAGUGUGGGGAGCGAACAGG